CCAAGGAGUUUAACAUGUGCGCGAGUCAUUGGGUCUUGCUCAGGCCCAAAGGCGCAAUGAAAGUGAAGGCCGGCCCGGUCGGCUGCGUUGGGAUCCCGCAUACUUUUUGUGGGCGCACCAACGGCCCGUCCCGAUCGCCGCGUCGACGGGGCGGAGUGAGAGCGUACACGUUGGGACCCGAAAGAUGGUGAACUAUGCCUGGGCAGGACGAAGCCAGAGGAAACUCUGGUGGAGGUCCGCAGCGAUUCUGACGUGCAAAUCGAUCGUCAGACCUGGGUAUAGGGGCGAAAGACAAAUCGAACCAUCUA
rnacentral:rRNA from 1 species